rnacentral:rRNA from 1 species
AACGAACGCUGGCGGCGUGGAUAAGACAUGCAAGUCGAACGGGAUUUUCCGUUGUAGCAAUACGAUGGAAGGUCUAGUGGCGAACGGGUGCUUAACACGUGGGCAACCUGCCAGGAAGUGGGGGAUAGCUCGCCGAAAGGCGAAUUAAUACCGCAUGUGAUUAGAGAGGACAUCCUUUCAAAAUUAAAGUCGGGGCAACCUGACGCUCCUUGUGGGGCCCGCGGCCUAUCAGCUAGUUGGUGAGGUAACGGCUCACCAAGGCUUUGACGGGUAGCUGGUCUGAGAGGACGACCAGCCACACUGGGACUGAGACACGGCCCAGACACCUACGGGUGGCAGCAGUCGAGAAUUUUUGACAAUGGGGGAAACCCUGAUCGAGCGACGCCGCGUGGAGGAUGAAGGUCUUCGGAUUGUAAACUCCUGUCAUUGGGGAACAAGGUGCAUACGUUAACUGCGUGUGUAUUGAUAGUACCCGAAGAGGAAGAGACGGCUAACUCUGUGCCAGCCGCCGCCGUAAGAC